rnacentral:rRNA from 1 species
GUGCUUAACACAUGCAAGUCGAACGGGAUCCCUGGCAGCUUGCUGUCGGGGUGAGAGUGGCGAACGGGUGAGUAAUGCGUGACCAACCUGCCCUGUGCACCGGAAUAGCUCCUGGAAACGGGUGGUAAUACCGGAUGCUCCGCUCCAUCGCAUGGUGGGGUGGGAAAUGCUUUUGCGGCAUGGGAUGGGGUCGCGUCCUAUCAGCUUGUUGGCGGGGUGAUGGCCCACCAAGGCGUUGACGGGUAGCCGGCCUGAGAGGGUGACCGGCCACAUUGGGACUGAGAUACGGCCCAGACUCCUACGGGAGGCAGCAGUGGGGAAUAUUGCACAAUGGGCGCAAGCCUGAUGCAGCGACGCCGCGUGCGGGAUGGAGGCCUUCGGGUUGUAAACCGCUUUUGUUCAAGGGCAAGGCACGGUUUCGGCCGUGUUGAGUGGAUUGUUCGAAUAAGCACCGGCUAACUACGUGCCAGCAGCCGCGGUAAUACGUAGGGUGCGAGCGUUAUCCGGAUUUAUUGGGCGUAAAGGGCUCGUAGGCGGUUCGUCGCGUCCGGUGUGAAAGUCCAUCGCCUAACGGUGGAUCUGCGCCGGGUAC